rnacentral:lncRNA from 1 species
CCCACCCCAGAGGGAAUGUUGGUGUUUUACUUUUUUACUUCUCAAUUUUUUAAUCUCCACUUUCUUGACUUCCUCUAGGACGUUCACGACGUCUCUAUUGUGGCACACACAUCAGAUGAGGUCUCUGCAGGGGCAGAUUGAAGAGACAUUUCACCAGAAGCACAGAUGAGACUGGAUGUAUUCAGGGUGAUACAGCCACGGAGUCUCCCUCUUCUGCAUUCAUUUUGCCAUGGGAAACAGGAGGCAUAGUCAGCCUUGAAUGUGCAGUGGUAAGCUCUGCUUUGACAAUG